ensembl:lncRNA
CACACACACACUGCUUGUAUGAGCAGGGUGGGGAGCAGGGCUCAGAUGGUGAAUUAACCCCAGGGCAGAUGAUAGUGCCUGUCCAGGCCAGGCUUGAGGGCCUACUGGAUAGAUGUUGUUUCUCCUCCAUGUCCCCCCAUCCCCUUGAGGCAGGCCCAGGGAAGCCUGGCACUGUGGCCUGUGCCACUGAAGAUUUCUGCUUGCACCCUGACUGGUGCUCAGUGGUCAGCUGAGGAUCAGAAGCUCCUGUGAUCUUAGCAGGAGAUGGCUGGAUUUCCUGUGUGGGAUCUUCGCUGCAGCCAGGACUUGCCUGACAGCAGGAGUUUGUGAGAGCCAGGUAAGUUGUGUCUACUUCCAGCCUAAGAUUUUAAGUGACAAAUGCAAGUGGACUGAUGUUCUGCAUGGUCCAUUGGAAAUCAGAAAGUGUCAGCAGUACUACUCUGAUGAGGGAAACUGGAGGGAAGCCGUUUCUUCCCUUGAAGAGAGGGUGUGUAACCACCUAAAUCUUAAGAUAGCAACCAAUGCUUCCUGUUUUUUAAUUAAGCCAAGUUAAGGAAAACUGACUUUUUUGUGAAGCUGACUUUAUGUUUUCUUAAUUUUUAUGUAAAACUGCCUUUUUAAAUGCAGAGCUUUAUUUUCAAUUAUUCCUUGUCAUAUAAAACUACCAGGCUUCCUUGCUGGCUCAGAUGGUAAAGAAUCUGCUUGCAGUGCAGGAGACCUGGUUUUGAUCUCUGGGUCAGGAAGAGCCCCUGGAGAACGGAAUGGCCACCCACUCCAGUAUUCUUGCCUGGAGAAUCCCUUGGGCAGAGGAGCCUGACAGGCUACAGUUCAUGGGGUCGCAGAGUUGGACAUGACUGAGUGACUAACUCUUUCAUAUUAAAGUCCACGUGCAUGCAUGUGUGCUAAGUCAUGUCCAUCUCUGUGACCCUUGGACUGUAAUCCACCAGGCUCCUCUGUCCAUGGGAUUCUCCAGGCAAGGAUACUGGAGUGGAUUGCCGUGUUCUUCUCAAGGGGAUCCUCCUGACCCAGGGAUG